CAUUUAGAGGAAGUAAAAGUCGUAACAAGGUUUCCGUAGGUGAACCUGCGGAAGGAUCAUUAUUGAAAUAAACCUGAUGAGUUGUUGCUGGUUCUCUAGGGAGCAUGUGCACACUCGUCAUCUUUGUAUAUUCACCUGUGCAUCUUUUGUAGACCCUUGGGUAUCUCUCUGAUUGCUUUUAGCACUCAGGAUUGAGGAUUGACUUCCUGUCUCUUCUUACAUUUCCAGGUCUAUGUUUCUUAAUAUACCCUAAUGUAUGUUUAUAGAAUGUAAUUAAUGGGCCUUUGUGCCUAUAAAUCUAUACAACUUUCAGCAACGGAUCUCUUGGCUCUCGCAUCGAUGAAGAACGCAGCGAAAUGCGAUAAGUAAUGUGAAUUGCAGAAUUCAGUGAAUCAUCGAAUCUUUGAACGCACCUUGCGCUCCUUGGUAUUCCGAGGAGCAUGCCUGUUUGAGUGUCAUUAAUAUAUCAACCUCUCUGGUUGGAUGUGGGUUUGCUGGCCACUUGAGGUCAGCUCCCCUUAAAUGCAUUAGCGGACAACAUUUUGCUAAACGUUCAUUGGUGUGAUAAUUAUCUACACUCUUGAUGUGAAGCAGGUUCAGCUUCUAACAGUCCAUUGACCUUGGAUAAAAUUUUAUUUAUUAAUGUGACCUCAAAUCAGGUAGGACUACCCGCUGAACUUAAGCAUAUCAAUAAGCGGA
rnacentral:rRNA from 1 species